GAUGAACGCUGGCGGCGUGCCUAAUACAUGCAAGUCGAGCGAACAGACGAGGAGCUUGCUCCUCUGACGUUAGCGGCGGACGGGUGAGUAACACGUGGAUAACCUACCUAUAAGACUGGGAUAACUUCGGGAAACCGGAGCUAAUACCGGAUAAUAUAUUGAACCGCAUGGUUCAAUAGUGAAAGACGGUUUUGCUGUCAUUUAUAGAUGGAUCCGCGCCGCAUUAGCGAGUUGGUAAGGUAACGGCUUACCAAGGCAACGAUGCAUAGCCGAACAGAGAGGGUGAUCGGCCACACAGGAACUUGGACACGGACCAGAAACCUAAAGAAAGCAGCAGAAAGGGGGCUGCCGCAAUAGGCGAAAUCCUGACGGUGCCACGCCGGACGAGUAAUGACGGUAUUCAGAUCGUCCAACUCUGUUAUUGGGGACGAACAAAUGUGUAAGGAACUAUGCACGUGUUGCAGGUACCUCAUCACAAAGCCAAGGCUCAAUCCGUG
rnacentral:rRNA from 1 species